CAUUGUUGUUUGGUUAACCAGCGUGAGUCCACGUAUUCAUUAGGAUUGUAAGGUGUACGCUUUGAACAUUGUUGUUUGGUGAACCAGCGUGAGUCCAUUCAUUAGGAUUGUAAGGUGUACGCUUUGAACAUUGUUGUUUGGUGAACCAGCGUGAGUCCAUUCAUUAGGAUUGUAAGGUGUACGCUUUGAACAUUGUUGUUUGGUGAACCAGCGUGAGUCCAUGUAUUCAUUAGGAUUGUAAGGUGUACGCUUUGAACAUUGUUGUUUGGUGAACCAGCGUGAGUCCAUGUAUUCAUUAGGAUUGUAAGGUGUACGCUUUGAACAUUGUUGUUUGGUUAACCAGCGUGAGUCCAUUCAUUAGGAUUGUAAGGUGUACGCUUUGAACAUUGUUGUUUGGUGAACCAGCGUGAGUCCAUGUAUUCAUUAGGAUUGUAAGGUGUACGCUUUGAACAUUGUUGUUUGGUUAACCAGCGUGAGUCCACGUAUUCAUUAGGAUUGUAAGGUGUACGCUUUGAACAUUGUUGUUUGGUGAACCAGCGUGAGUCCAUUCAUUAGGAUUGUAAGGUGUACGCUUUGAACAUUGUUGUUUGGUGAACCAGCGUGAGUCCAUGUAUUCAUUAGGAUUGUAAGGUGUACGCUUUGAACAUUGUUGUUUGGUUAACCAGCGUGAGUCCAUGUAUUCAUUAGGAUUGUAAGGUGUACGCUUUGAAGAUUGCUGGCACAGAGUCUGGGGUACACCGUAACCAUAAGGUGAAAUAGUUGAGGAGCUGGAGGACAUCACAAAGUCAGAUAAACUUGACAUGGGCCCCCACAACUACCAGAACAGAUAAUGCACCUUUAACACAUAGUGUAACUUUAACGGAUAAUGCAGCUUUAACACAUAGUGUAACUUUAACGGAUAAUGCACCUUUAACACAUAGUGUAACUUAAACGGAUAAUGCACCUUUAA